CACCCAUAAACGUAUUCAACUUGCAGCCGAAAUGGGGGAGUGCUCGAAGCGCGUCCACACGCUGUUGCUUUUUGUUCUUCUCCUAUGUUUUGCUAUUCAUGGGCAGUGUGGACGCUUAGGCAUGGAGAAGGAUCAUCCUGGGUGCUACAGGAGUAGCACUUUUCCACCCUGCAAUCCUGACAAAAAUAGAUGCUAUUGUUGUUUAUACAAUUGGACUUGCUACAAGUCCUUUACUGAAUGCGGGCCUGCUUGCCAUCCUCCCUCCUCUCCUUCAUCUGUACUGCCAUAAAAUUAGAAUCUUGUACCGAAUUGGAAAGAUGGAUGAAUAAGACGAUGAAUUAACAAGUUUUCA